UACGUAGGUGGCAAGCGUUGUCCGGAUUUACUGGGCGUAAAGGGCGUGCAGGCGGUUUGUUAAGUUCAGGGUGAAAGCUCCCGGCUCAACUGGGAGAGGUCCUUGGAUACUGGCAGACUUGAGGAGGGUAGAGGAGAGUGGAAUUCCCGGUGUAGUGGUGAAAUGCGCAGAUAUCAGGAGGAACACCGGUGGCGAAGGCGGAUCUCUGGGCCUUACCUGACACUGAGGAGCGAAAGCGUGGGGAGCGAACAGG
rnacentral:rRNA from 1 species